rnacentral:siRNA from 1 species
GGGCAUGCGUCUUGGAUUGG